UCGCCUGUUUUAUCAAAAACAUCUCUCUUUGUUGAAGUAUAUAUAAAGAGUUGGGCCUGCUCGGUGAAAACGUUUUAACAGCUGCGGUAUUUUAACUGUACUAAGGUAGCAUAAUAAUUUGCCUUAUAAUUUGAGGCUAGAAUGAAUGGUUUGACGAAGGUUAAUCUGUCUCCACUUUAUUUUUUAGAAAUUAAUUUUCAUAGUGAAAAAGCUUGAAUUUUUUAAGGGGACGAGAAGACCCUACUGAGCUUAUAAUUUUAUUAACAUAUAUAUUUAUGUAUAUUGUGUUAUAUGAAUUUUAAUUGGGGUGAUUAAGGAAUAAUGUAAUUAUUUAUAACGUAACUUCCUUAGAUAUUAUAUUGUUGAAUUAAGUAACCGAUAAUGGUAAAUAUAAUUUUAUUAUAUAUUGCUUAUAAUAUAGUUACCAUAGGGAUAACAGCGUAAUUUACUUAGAGAGUUCUUAUUGAAAAGUAAGAUUGCGACCUCGAUGUUGGAUUAAAGUAACCUUAAGGUGCAGAAGCUUUAUGAGGUAAAUCUGUUCGAUUUUUAAAACUUUACGUGAUCUGA
rnacentral:rRNA from 1 species